ACUGCGAGUGAAGCGGGAAAAGCUCAAAUUUAAAAUCUGAUGGCCUUUGGUUAUCCGAGUUGUAAUUUAGAGAAGCGUUUUCCGCGCUGGACCAUGCAUAAGUCUCCUGGAAUGGAGCGUCAUAGAGGGUGAGAAUCCCGUCUUUGGCAUGGAUCCCAGGGCUUCUGUGAUGCGCUCUCAAAGAGUCGAGUUGUUUGGGAAUGCAGCUCAAAAUGGGUGGUGAACUCCAUCUAAAGCUAAAUAUUGGCGAGAGACCGAUAGCGAACAAGUACCGUGAGGGAAAGAUGAAAAGCACUUUGGAAAGAGAGUGAAACAGUACGUGAAAUUGUUGAAAGGGAAACGCUUGAAGUCAGUCGCGUUGACCGAGACUCAGCCUUGCCUCGGCUUGGUGUACUUCUCGGCUGACGGGUCAGCAUCAAUUUUGAUCCUUGGAUAAUGGCAAGGGAAAGGUGGCACUUUUAGGUGUGUUAUAGUCCUUUGUCGGAUACAAGGGUUGGGAUUGAGGAACUCAGCAUGC
rnacentral:rRNA from 2 species